GUGGGGAAUUUUGGACAAUGGGGGCAACCCUGAUCCAGCAAUGCCGCGUGCAGGAAGAAGGCCUUCGGGUUGUAAACUGCUUUUGUACGGAACGAAAAGGCUCUGGUUAAUACCUGGGGCACAUGACGGUACCGUAAGAAUAAGCACCGGCUAACUACGUGCCAGCAGCCGCGGUAAUACGUAGGGUGCAAGCGUUAAUCGGAAUUACUGGGCGUAAAGCGUGCGCAGGCGGUGCUGUAAGACAGGCGUGAAAUCCCCGGGCUUAACCUGGGAAUGGCGCUUGUGACUGCAGUGCUGGAGUGUGGCAGAGGGGGAUGGAAUUCCGCGUGUAGCAGUGAAAUGCGUAGAUAUGCGGAGGAACACCGAUGGCGAAGGCAAUCCCCUGGGCCUGCACUGACGCUCAUGCACGAAAGCGUGGGGAGCAAACAGGAUUAGAAACCCUAGUAGUCC
rnacentral:rRNA from 1 species